GGGAAGGUAGCUCAAUGGUAGAGUGCUUGCCUUGCAUGCAUGAGGCCAUGGGUUCGAUUCCUCAGCACCA
rnacentral:tRNA from 1 species